rnacentral:rRNA from 1 species
AUACGUAGGGUGCAAGCGUUAAUCGGGAUUACUGGGCGUAAAGCGUGCGCAGGCGGUUUUGUAAGACAGUGGUGAAAUCCCCGGGCUCAACCUGGGAACUGCCAUUGUGACUGCAAGGCUGGAGUGCGGCAGAGGGGGAUGGAAUUCCGCGUGUAGCAGUGAAAUGCGUAGAUAUGCGGAGGAACACCGAUGGCGAAGGCAAUCCCCUGGGCCUGCACUGACGCUCGUGCACGAAAGCGUGGGGAGCAAACAGGAUUAGAUACCCUGGUAGUCCACGCCCUAAACGAUGUCAACUGGUUGUUGGGGAUUUAUUUUCUCAGUAACGAAGCUAACGCGUGAAGUUGACCGCCUGGGGAGUACGGCCGCAAGGUUAAAACUCAAAUGAAUUGACGGGG